ensembl:rRNA 5S_rRNA 5S ribosomal RNA
GUCUGCGGCCAUACCACCCUGAAUGCACCCAAUCUCGUCAGAUCUCAGAAGCUAAGCAGGGUCAGGUCUGGUUAGUACUUGGACGGGAGACCACGUGAGAAUACUGGGUGCUGUAGGCU